rnacentral:rRNA from 1 species
UACGGGGGGGGGUAAGCGUUGUUCGGAAUUACUGGGCGUAAAGGGCUCGUAGGCGGCCAACUAAGUCAGACGUGAAAUCCCCCAGCUUAACUGGGGAACUGCGUCUGAUACUGGAUGGCUUGGAUCCGGAAGAGGGAUGCGGAAUUCCAGGUGUAGCGGUGAAAUGCGUAGAUAUCUGGAGGAACACCGGUGGCGAAGGCGGCAUCCUGGGCCGGUAUUGACGCUGAGGAGCGAAAGCCAGGGGAGCAAACGGG